rnacentral:tRNA from 1 species
GCACCAGGUCUAGUGGUAGAAUAGUAACCUGCCACGGUACAGACCCGAGUUUGAUUCCCGGCUGGUGCA